rnacentral:rRNA from 1 species
CGGAGGCAGCAGUGGGGAAUCUUGCGCAAUGGGCGAAAGCCUGACGCAGCGACGCCGCGUGGGGGAUGAAGCUUUUCGGAGCGUAAACCCCUUUCGACCGGGACGAAUGCCCGCAAGGGCUUGACGGUACCGGUAGAAGAAGCCCCGGCUAACUACGUGCCAGCAGCCGCGGUAAAACGUAGGGGGCCAGCGUUGCUCGGAAUUACUGGGCGUAAAGGGUCUGUAGGCGGUGCGGCAAGUCGGAAGUGAAAUCGCAGGGCUUAACUCUGCGGCUGCUUCCGAAACUGCCGUGCUCGAGUGUGAGAUAGGCGAGUGGAAUUGCAGGUGUAGCGGUGAAAUGCGUAGAUAUCUGCAGGAACAUCCGAGGCGAAAGCGGCUCGCUGGAUCACAACUGACGCUGAGAGACGAAAGCUAGGGGAGCAAACAGGAUUAGAUACCCCAGUAGUCCU